AACGAACGCUGGCGGCGUGGAUAAGACAUGCAAGUCGGACGCUGAGAGUAGGGUAGCAAUAUUCUACUUUUGGAGUGGCGUAAGGGUGCUUAACACGUGGGUAAUUUGCCGCAAAGCCCGGAAUAACCCCGAGAAAUCGGGGCUAAUACCGGAUGUGACCUCCUGGGGGCAUCCUUGGGAGUUGAAAGCUGGGGACUGUAACAGGCCUGGCAUUUUGCGAUAAGCCCGCGGCCUAUCAGCUAGUUGGCGAGGUAACGGCUCACCAAGGCUUGGACGGGUAGCUGGUCUGAGAGGACGACCAGCCACACUGGAACUGAGACACGGUCCAGACACCUACGGGUGGCAGCAGUCGAGAAUUUUUCUCAAUGGGGGAAACCCUGAAGGAGCGACGCCGCGUGGGGGAUGAAUGGCUUCGGCCCGUAAACCCCUGUCAUUUGGGAUCAAAAGUGAUUCAUGAAUAAUGGGUUACCUGAUUGUACCGGAAGAGGAAGGGACGGCUAACUCUGUGC
rnacentral:rRNA from 1 species